GAGGUUUCGGCCUUAGUGGCGGACGGGUGAGUAACGCGUAGGAAUCUAUCCAUGGGUGGGGGAUAACUCUGGGAAACUGGAGCUAAUACCGCUGAUACCUGAGGGUCAAAGGCGUAAGUCGCCUGUGGAGGAGCCUGCGUUCGAUUAGCUUGUUGGUGGGGUAAUGGCCUACCAAGGCGAUGAUCGAUAGCUGGUCUGAGAGGAUGAUCAGCCACACUGGGACUGAGACACGGCCCAGACUCCUACGGGAGGCAGCAGUGGGGAAUAUUGGACAAUGGGGGCAACCCUGAUCCAGCAAUGCCGCGUGUGUGAAGAAGGUUUUCGGAUUGUAAAGCACUUUCGGCGGGGACGAUGAUGACGGUACCCGCAGAAGAAGCCCCGGCUAACUUCGUGCCAGCAGCCGCGGUAAUACGA
rnacentral:rRNA from 1 species